rnacentral:rRNA from 1 species
UGAAUACGAGAUGCUACGGCGUCGAAGCAGUCUAUGUCAUACUUCCAAGAAAAGCUUGCACUGUCAUAAACAAAUAAUGCCUGUACCAUAACCGACACAGGUGGGUAGGUAGAGUAUACUAAGGGGCGCGAGAUAACUCUCUCUAAGGAACUCGGAAAAAUGACUCCGUAACUUCGGGAGAAGGAGUGCCUUAUUUAUAAGGUUGCAAUAACAAGAUCCAAGCAACUGUUUACCAAAAACACAGGUCUCCGCUAAGUCGUAAGACGAUGUAUGGGGGCUGACGCCUGCCCAGUGCCAGAAGGUUAAAGAAGUUGGUUAGCAUCCCGAAGCUGAUAACUGAAGCCCUGGUGAACGGCGGCUGUAACUAUAACGGUCCUAAGGUAGCGAAAUUCCUUGUCGGGUAAGUUCCGACCCGCACGAAAGGCGUAAUGAUUUGGAUACUGUCUCGGAGAGGGGCUCGGUGAAAUAGACUUGUCUGUGAAGAUGCGGACUACCUGCACCAGGACAGAAAGACCCUAUGAAGCUUUACUGUAACCUGAAAUUGAAAUUGGACUUUACUUGCGCAGUAUAGGUGGGAGGCGUUGAGAAUAUUCUUGCGGGAUUAUUGGAGCCAUCAGUGAGAUACCACUCUUGUAAUGUUAGAUUUCUAACUUUGUAUCAUUAUCUGGUCAAAGAACAGUUUCAGGCGGGCAGUUUGACUGGGGCGGUCGCCUCCUAAACGGUAACGGAGGCGCACAAAGGUUUCCUCUGAACGGGUAGAAAUCGUAUCUAGAGUGUAAAGGCAUAAGGAAGCUUGACUGUGAGACCUACAAGUCGAGCAGGGACGAAAGUCGGUCUUAGUGAUCUGACGGUGCUGAGUGGAAAGGCCGUCACUCAACGGAUAAAAGUUACUCUAGGAUAACAGGCUGAUCUCCCCCAAGAGUUCACAUCGACGGGGAGGUUUGGCACCUCGAUGUCGGCUCAUCGCAUCCUGGGGCGGUAGUACGUCCCAAGGGUUGGGCUGUUCGCCCAUGAAAGCGGUACGCGAGCUGGGUUCAGAACGUCGUGAGACAGUUCGGUCCAUAUCCGGUGUAGGCGUUAGAAUAUUGAGAGGAGCCUUCUUUAGUACGAGAGGACCGAGAAGGACAUACCUCUGGUGUACCAGUUAUCGUGCCAACGGUAAACGCUGGGUAGCUAUGUGUGGAGUGGAUAACCGCUGAAAGCAUCUAAGUGGGAAGCCCACCUCAAGAUAAG